rnacentral:rRNA from 1 species
GACAGAGGGGGCAAGCGUUGCUCGGAAUCACUGGGCGUAAAGGGCGCGUAGGCGGGAUGGCAAGUCGGUCGUGAAAUCCUUCGGCUCAACCGAAGAACGUCGGCCGAUACUGCCGUUCUUGAGGGAUGCAGAGGAGAUUGGAAUUCCCGGUGUAGCGGUGAAAUGUGUAGAGAUCGGGAGGAACACCGGUGGCGAAGGCGGGUCUCUGGGGCAUCUCCUGACGCUGAGGAGCGAAAGCGUGGGGAGCGAACAGG